rnacentral:rRNA from 1 species
GAGAGAGCUUGCUUUCUUGGAUUAGUGGCGAACGGGUGAGUAACACGUGAGUAACCUGCCCUUGACUCUGGGAUAAGCGUUGGAAACGACGUCUAAUACCGGAUAUGAACCUCGGAGGCAUCUCCAGGGGUUGGAAAGAUUUUUUGGUCAAGGAUGGACUCGCGGCCUAUCAGCUUGUUGGUGAGGUAAUGGCUCACCAAGGCGACGACGGGUAGCCGGCCUGAGAGGGUGACCGGCCACACUGGGACUGAGACACGGCCCAGACUCCUACGGGAGGCAGCAGUGGGGAAUAUUGCACAAUGGGCGCAAGCCUGAUGCAGCAACGCCGCGUGAGGGAUGACGGCCUUCGGGUUGUAAACCUCUUUUAGUAGGGAAGAAGCGAAAGUGACGGUACCUGCAGAAAAAGCACCGGCUAACUACGUGCCAGCAGCCGCGGUAAUACGUAGGGUGCAAGCGUUGUCCGGAAUUAUUGGGCGUAAAGAGCUCGUAGGCGGUUUGUCGCGUCUGCUGUGAAAACUGGAGGCUCAACCUCCAGCCUGCAGUGGGUACGGGCAGACUAGAGUGCGGUAGGGGAGAUUGGAAUUCCUGGUGUAGCGGUGGAAUGCGCAGAUAUCAGGAGGAACACCGAUGGCGAAGGCAGAUCUCUGGGCCGUAACUGACGCUGAGGAGCGAAAGCGUGGGGAGCGAACAGGAUUAGAUACCCUGGUAGUCCACGCCGUAAACGUUGGGAACUAGAUGUGGGGGCCAUU